GGGGAAACCCAGUGCAAUCCGUUGCACUAUCGUUAACUGAAUACAUAGGUUAACGAGGCGAACCGGGGGAACUGAAACAUCUAAGUACCCCGAGGAAAAGAAAUCAACCGAGAUUCCCCCAGUAGCGGCGAGCGAACGGGGAGCAGCCCGGAGUCUGAAUCAGCUUGUGUGUUAGUGGAACGGUCUGGAAAGUCCGACGGUACAGGGUGAUAGUCCCGUACACGAAAGCACACUUGCUGUGAACUCGAAGAGUAGGGCGGGACACGUGGUAUCCUGUCUGAAUAUGGGGGGACCAUCCUCCAAGGCUAAAUACUCCUGACUGACCGAUAGUGAACCAGUACCGUGAGGGAAAGGCGAAAAGAACCCCGGCGAGGGGAGUGAAAAAGAACCUGAAACCGUGUACGUACAAGCAGUGGGAGCCUCUUUAUGGGGUGACUGCGUACCUUUUGUAUAAUGGGUCAGCGACUUAUAUUCUGUAGCAAGGUUAACCGUAUAGGGGAGCCGAAGGGAAACCGAGUCUUAACUGGGCGUUAAGUUGCAGGGUAUAGACCCGAAACCCGGUGAUCUAGCCAUGGGCAGGUUGAAGGUUGGGUAACACUAACUGGAGGACCGAACCGACUAAUGUUGAAAAAUUAGCGGAUGACCUGUGGCUGGGGGUGAAAGGCCAAUCAAACCGGGAGAUAGCUGGUUCUCCCCGAAAGCUAUUUAGGUAGCGCCUCGUGAACUCAUCUUCGGGGGUAGAGCACUGUUUCGGCUAGGGGGCCAUCCCGGCUUACCAACCCGAUGCAAACUACGAAUACCGAAGAAUGUUAUCACGGGAGACACACGGCGGGUGCUAACGUCCGUCGUGAAGAGGGAAACAACCCAGACCGCCAGCUAAGGUCCCAAAGUCAUGGUUAAGUGGGAAACGAUGUGGGAAGGCACAGACAGCCAGGAUGUUGGCUUAGAAGCAGCCAUCAUUUAAAGAAAGCGUAAUAGCUCACUGGUCGAGUCGGCCUGCGCGGAAGAUGUAACGGGGCUAAACCAUGCACCGAAGCUGCGGCAGCGACACUAUGUGUUGUUGGGUAGGGGAGCGUUCUGUAAGCCGUUGAAGGUGUGCUGUGAGGCAUGCUGGAGGUAUCAGAAGUGCGAAUGCUGACAUAAGUAACGAUAAAGCGGGUGAAAAGCCCGCUCGCCGGAAGACCAAGGGUUCCUGUCCAACGUUAAUCGGGGCAGGGUGAGUCGACCCCUAAGGCGAGGCCGAAAGGCGUAGUCGAUGGGAAACAGGUUAAUAUUCCUGUACUUGGUGUUACUGCGAAGGGGGGACGGAGAAGGCUAUGUCAGCCGGGCGACGGUUGUCCCGGUUUAAGCAUGUAGGCGGAGGUUCCAGGUAAAUCCGGUACCUUAUUAACGCUGAGGUGUGAUGACGAGGCACUACGGUGCUGAAGUGAUAA
rnacentral:rRNA from 1 species